GAAACAGAUGUGGGCCAGGGGAGCAGAAAAGGGGAAGAAUAUGGCUGCUGCUGUGGGGAUCUGCAGUGGGUUCACAGAGCCAUCUGCAAAUGUUUGAAAAACUCCCACUAAGGACCUCUAGAGAUAAAACUGAGUGAACUUGCAGAGGGCAAGAGGAAUGUGCUGAAUUCCAGAGUCAAGGCAGUGGAGCUCCAGUCAUUGGAGUUUGGGAUUUAAAGUCAACGUGAUACUCUUUCAGCCUCCUGGGUGCUGGUGACAUGUGCAUGUGCCAGGUUCAUCGCCUUGCUCAAGUCCAGGACGGGCUGCAAGCAGUGCAGGCUGUGACUUGGCGGCUGGGUGCUGAGUUUUCCCGAAGGAGACUUGAAGGACAAAGGGGAGACAGAUUUAGUUUCCCUUGUCACCUUCUCUGCAAAUUGCCCAUCCAGUUUAAGGAUUUCGACAUUACCAGCCAUGUAAAGAGAAAACUGCACAAGAUACUCUGCCUAUGCCAAAGACGAACGUGCCUGCUUUUCCUCGCCUAAGAACUCUACCAGAAUCGGGAGCAGAAAUGCAGGGAGGACCAGAUCAAGCUACAGUGUCGUGGCCUUUUUGCUUAACGACUGCAGUCCGACUGUUCCCAGCAGCCGCCAGAAGAAACAUGCUAAUAUUAACUUAUUGAAAUGAUUGAGCUACUUGCAGUGACAGAAACACUUGAAUUUAUUAAACUGGCUUUAAAAAUAUUUAGGUGCCUUUCAUCUGCAGAUAGCACAAAUAGUCUAUUACCCCAACAUUUUCUGAGGCUACAUUUAAAAAAAAAAUGCAGGGGAUUUCUGGAAGAAUGCAAAUUCCAGG
rnacentral:lncRNA from 1 species